GACGAACGCUGGCGGCGUGCCUAAUACAUGCAAGUAGGACGCAGUUACGAACGGGAGAGUAACGCGUAGGUAACUACCUAUUAGAGGGGGAUAACUAUUGGAAACGAUAGCUAAUAACGCAUACUAGUAGAUGGACCUGCGGUGGAUUAUCGAGUAGGUAGGGUAAUGGCCUACCUAGGCAACGAUACAUCGCCGACCUGAGAGGGUGAUCGGCCAAACUGGGACUGAGACAAGGCCCAGACGCCUACGGUAGGCAGAAGUAGGGAAGCUUCGGCAAUGGGGGGAACCCUGACCGAGCAACGCCGCGGGAGUGAAGAAGGUUUUCGGAUCGUAAAGCUCUGUUGUUAAGGAAGCGGUACUUAACCAGAAAGGGACGGCUAACUACGUGCCAGCAGCCGCGGUAAUUC
rnacentral:rRNA from 1 species